rnacentral:rRNA from 1 species
AUUGAACGCUGGCGGCAGGCCUAACACAUGCAAGUCGAGCGAGUGGCGGACGGGUGAGUAAUGUAUGGGGAUCUGCCCGAUGGAGGGGGAUAACUACUGGAAACGGUAGCUAAUACCGCAUACCAUCGGAUGUACCCAGAUGGGAUUAGCUAGUAGGUGGGGUAACGGCGCACCUAGGCGACGCUCUCUAGCUGGUCUGAGAGGAUGAGCAGCCACACGGGAACUGAGACACGGGCCAGACUCCUACGGGAGGCAGCAGUGGGGAAUAUUGCACAAUGGGCGCAAGCCUGAUGCAGCCAUGCCGCGUGUAUGAAGAAGGCCUUAGGGUUGUAAAGUACUUUCAGCGGGGAGGCGUUACCCGCAGAAGAAGCACCGGCUAACUCCGUGCCAGCAGCCGCGGUAAUUC